GUUAUCGUCACAGAGUCUUACUUGGUUUGCCUUUGGCCAAUAUAAAAUAGAAUUAAUAAACAUUUCUGUAUCGAAGAAGGUCAACUUCGUGCAAGUUCAUGGUGUGGUUUUUGACCCAACUGUUGAAUUAAAAAGUACAGGGGCUGUCAAAAGUUAGUUUUAACUUCCCAACUGUUGAGAGAGAAUCCACGGUAUAUUGGUUGAACGGCUUCAGGAUUAGUUUUAAUCACAGUUUCUAACAAUUAGGUCUCCCCAGGAAUACAUUCUUACCCACAACAACUGCCCAAUACUUGUUGGUGACACUGACAGGAGAGGUCUUUCAUGUAUUGAAAUAAUGUUGGAUAUUUUCAAUAUAAUAUGUCCACUUGUAUGAGUCAUUCCAGAGAGAUUUAACUUGAAAAUUCUUUAUCUGGCUUUGACUGCGUCUGGUGGCUAGCCACCAGCUUAGACUGGUUUGGUAGUGUUUUCUGUUUCAAAAUGUUAGCUUGGCUACAUUAACACGCCAACCGCAGCCUGGAAUAAUAUUCAUGUGAUUGGCCGCAUGGUCACACUCAUCAUUUGCAGUGAAGUGGACAUAAAUGAUCGACAUUCAAUCUUUCUGCUUGCGUCAAUCAAAAUGCAUAUGCAUGCACUGGCAACGCUAUGAAAGAGAAUCAGAAACCUCCCACUCGAUCUAUUUCCUCUGUAUUAGGUCGGCAACAUCUCUAUGCAAUGUGGCAGCAGGCAGCAGCAGCAAGUGAGAGAGAGAUAGUCCAAAUGCUAAGCUUCUUACUGCUAAAGAAAGAAUAGUAACAGUAAAUACUAAAGUUUAUAACGGGAAUUUGUUGUCAAUCCUGAAAGAAAAAUCUUCAUAAAGUUUAGGCGGCUAAUAUUUAUAUUUUAUAAUAUGUAAUUCCAGUGAUUAAUAAAACAAUAGAAAUGAAUUGCACGUAA